AUGAUUGCACGUCAUCUCUGUGGUUGGAAAUUCGGGGCCGGUUUACUUGAGUGGUUCUGGCUCAGGAUCCCUGGUGAAGUUGCAGCUCAAGGUGUUGCUAGAGGUGCAGUCACCCCAGGCCUCGCUGGCACCCUACCCCAGAUGCGACAGGACACGGUGACUGCUUUCUUCAGGACCAGCAAUCCCACGGUGCAAGGCACCUUGUUCUUGGGACCUGACACCCUGAAUAGAAGGACAACCACUCUUUGUUGUCUGCCUGGAAGGAAAACUUAA
rnacentral:lncRNA from 1 species